rnacentral:rRNA from 1 species
GUGGGCGUCCGGCGAAAACUGUCUGGCUUGGAACCGGAAGGCUCAGAGGGUACGUCUGGGGUACGAGUGAAAUCCUGUAAUCCCAGACGGACCACCGAUGGCGAAAGCACUCUGAGAAGACGGAUUCGACAGUGAGGGACGAAAGCUAGGGUCUCGAACCGGAUUAGAUACCCGGGUAGUCCUAGCUGUAAACGAUGCUC